rnacentral:rRNA from 1 species
ACGCCAGUCUGCAUGGAGCCGGCCUUGAAAUACCACCCUUUAAUGUUUGAUGUUCUAACGUGGACCCGUGAUCCGGGUUGCGGACAGUGUCUGGUGGGUAGUUUGACUGGGGCGGUCUCCUCCUAAAGAGUAACGGAGGAGCACGAAGGUUGGCUAAUCCUGGUCGGACAUCAGGAGGUUAGUGCAAUGGCAUAAGCCAGCUUGACUGCGAGCGUGACGGCGCGAGCAGGUGCGAAAGCAGGUCAUAGUGAUCCGGUGGUUCUGAAUGGAAGGGCCAUCGCUCAACGGAUAAAAGGUACUCCGGGGAUAACAGGCUGAUACCGCCCAAGAGUUCAUAUCGACGGCGGUGUUUGGCACCUCGAUGUCGGCUCAUCACAUCCUGGGGCUGAAGUAGGUCCCAAGGGUAUGGCUGUUCGCCAUUUAAAGUGGUACGCGAGCUGGGUUUAGAACGUCGUGAGACAGUUCGGUCCCUAUCUGCCGUGGGCGCUGGAGAACUGAGGGGGGCUGCUCCUAGUACGAGAGGACCGGAGUGGACGCAUCACUGGUGUUCGGGUUGUCAUGCCAAUGGCACUGCCCGGUAGCUAAAUGCGGAAGAGAUAAGUGCUGAAAGCAUCUAAGCACGAAACUUGCCCCGAGAUGAGUUCUCCCUGACCCUUUAAGGGUCCUGAAGGAACGUUGAAGACGACGACGUUGAUAGGCCGGGUGUGUAAGCGCAGCGAUGCGUUGAGCUAACCGGUACUAAUGAACCGUGAGGCUUAACCUUACAACGCCGAAG